rnacentral:tRNA from 1 species
CGGGACGUGGCGCAGCUUGGUAGCGCGCAGCGUUCGGGACGCUGAGGUCGCGGGUUCGAAUCCCGCCGUCCCGACCC